rnacentral:rRNA from 1 species
AGCGAACGCUGGCGGCAGGCCUAACACAUGCAAGUCGAACGAACUCUUCGGAGUUAGUGGCGGACGGGUGAGUAACACGUGGGAACGUGCCUUUAGGUUCGGAAUAACUCAGGGAAACUUGUGCUAAUACCGAAUGUGCCCUUCGGGGGAAAGAUUUAUCGCCUUUAGAGCGGCCCGCGUCUGAUUAGCUAGUUGGUGAGGUAAAGGCUCACCAAGGCGACGAUCAGUAGCUGGUCUGAGAGGAUGAUCAGCCACAUUGGGACUGAGACACGGCCCAAACUCCUACGGGAGGCAGCAGUGGGGAAUCUUGCGCAAUGGGCGAAAGCCUGACGCAGCCAUGCCGCGUGAAUGAUGAAGGUCUUAGGAUUGUAAAAUUCUUUCACCGGGGACGAUAAUGACGGUACCCGGAUAAGAAGCCCCGGCUAACUUCGUG